GGUAAGAGGACCCGGGCUAGGGCUCGAGGGCUGCAUGGAUUUAGCCUUGGAGGGGAGAGAACAGUCGGAAUCCCGCGCCUCCCCUCAGUUUAGGGAAAACGUUGCUUUCCGUCGGCCUGUUUGUCCAGCCUGUUCUAUGCUGUCUGCCUCUGUCUGUCUGCCUCUCUGUCCUCCUGCCUGCCCGUGUGUAUGUAUGUCUGCCUGCCUGCCUGUCUGUCUGUCCACGCGUAUGUUAGUGGGCACAUGCCCCCGUCAUCAUCCUCUGUGGAUGCCUCUGAGAUCUUUACAAGCGGCAGGUGUUGGGGACACGAAUGUCCUGGAACGCAUUCGACGGGAGGCAGAUCUCUGCUUUGCUUAGGUUGUCCCCCUAUGAAUGGCACUUAGAUGCUCACACAAACAACAGUGUCUCACCGAAGAGGGAUGGCCCCGAAGCAGGUCUCGGAAGGAAGGAGCCCAGUGCAGUGAGGCUGCUUACCCUGUGGCUAGUGGUCGUGAGCCCCACAAGUCUGCACCUUGUCGCUGCGCUCGCUUUGGCAAGGUCUCUUGGGUUCCCUCGUCAGCCUCUGCUGUCCCAGCGAUGCCCUGGCACAGUGCGGGCGCAGGCGGAGAUGAUCUGAUGUUAGACGACCUCGGUGGUCCCUGCUGAUGUUUAAGCAAACCUAAGCCUGGCAGCGCUGCAGGAAUGUUUGUUGGCACCUGGCAACGGACGCCAUCUGCAAGAAGGGUCGCGCUAGAUUGACAGAAAAACCAGGAUCUCAGCAGGGCAUAAGCCUGAGUCGUGCACGGUUCUCCAGUUUGACGCUCUGGGAACCAGGUCCGAGGAGAUUUCGGGAUGAACCCAGGAGAAUGCGUGUAGUUUUGACAAGAAGGAAGGUGAACCGGCAUUCCCCAAGAGUUGGACAUUCCACCGGCGCCAGGUCUGAGGUUCUCAGUCCUGCUCCGAGCAGCCAACUCUGCCCACAGUAGAUCAGAUGGGAUCUUUCCACUUGAAAGGAAAAUGGAGUUCACGAGUAGCCUACAGAUGCUGGGAGUCUUUCUGUGACUUUCAUCCACCGACGAUGUGACUACAAAAGAAGGAUGUGGAUCCCCACCUCACCCUGAAGUCUGGACUGUCUUCUGGACACUACAGAGUCCAGUCUCCAGUGUCCCUGUAGCUUCCAGGUAAUAACUUGGGACUCCAGGACAGCCAUGGACGGAUGAACAAAGUCCCUGCACCUGGCAGCCACCGACACUCCUGUUCCUCUGUUGAUGCCUGCAUCUCCAAGGCUGGUAUUGCAGCUGGACUUGAGAACUUUGAACGUCUGGAAACUUGACCUGUUACCAUGAAGAUGUGCAAUGGUCUGGAGUGCAAGUCUGCUGAGGAAGCCAUGUGAUUCUUCUUACAUGCUGACAGCGUUCCCACAGCCUUGAGAGGACAGGCCAGCUGAGACUAUCAUCACCAAUGUCCUAGAAACCCUGUAGCCUUGCCAGUGCAGGGUGAGCAGGCCUGCAGCUGCUGGGUAUCCCCAGAAAUCCCCAACAUCAUUCCCUGUGAGCUCUUCUAAGGCCUUCCACAGCCAAAGCCUGCUUCAAGCCUGCCUCACCAAUCAAGAAGCUGGAUUGCAGCCCUGCUGCAAGAAGUUUCAGUGACCAGAUGAAAACAGUGUCCUUCUAGGUGGACUAUUCCUAAGAGAAACAUGGGUGUCUGUAGGAUCCAGUGCAGCAGGACUGUAUCCAGGCCCCAAGAACCUCUGUGUUCAGGAAUGCUUGAAGGCUGUAUGCCGCAAUGGGGCAGCUCUGGGCACAGGGACCUCUUUACCGCCUGUGACUCAGACACUGGCGAGUACACAGCUAAGGGACUAAUGUCAGUGAAGGGAGCUGGGUAUGACUCCCUUCUGUGGAAGAGUCUUUACAUCCAUCCACAAAGCAAAAGGACCUCUGACACAUGACCUCAGAAGGACUUGGGCUCUGUGCAGAAGUAUGACGUCCUCAUAAGUUCAACCAAGGGAGUACCCCCUCUCCCAUACCUCAUGUUGCUCCACCAGAUUCCACCACAAAGCAAGGGUACCAGUGUUCUGGUCCAACUUCCCUGGAGAAUGUGGCCCAGUGAGGUUAUGAGGCUCUUUGGCAACUGACAGCAAGCUGCCUUUGUUUUGUCUAAGCUAGCUGAGACCUGAGAAGAGGGCUGUGUCUCUCCCCUGAGGCCUGGAUACACCACUCACUUCCAUCCCUCUUCAUCCUCUCCAGCAGUCUGUCCUGGGAGCCAUGGGGGGGACAGCCUCCCAGAUACCAGAGACAAGUGCCUCUCUUGUUUUGGCCGAGCCAGCCUGGGUCAGGCAGGGUGCUGGGAGAGGACACACAGCUUUGAUUCUGAGCUGCUCCUUCCUCUCCAGCCCUCCUCCCAGCCCACCUGUGCAGGAGGUCCCCUCUUCCUGCCUCAGUUCGCUGAGCUGGCACAAAGAGCCUCACUGAGCCUAAGGUCAGGGGCAUCAGAUUAGCUGCUGGGCAGGCCCGAGAGGUGGAGCCUCUGGGAGCCACUGUCUCAGGAUAAUGUCUGGUUGUUCUGGGCACAAAUGCAGGUCUACUGGGAAGGACCUGGGGAGAUAGCUCAGAAUCUAGGGCUGCCCCUCCCAAAGCCCAAGUGGGAUCGCUGAGCACAAAGACAAAAAAAAAAAAAAAAAAAACCAGAAAGAAAUCCCUAUCCGUGUUGUUAAAAUCCUCACCGUGAUGCUUAUCUAGCUUAAUACAGUCACCUUCUGUGUGAGUAAAAGGUAGAACAAAUAAAUCACAGUGGAUCUUUUAAAAAUACAAGGCUGAUAAAAUAGAAAUUAAAUUGCCUCCUUAGCAUAAGAAUAAAUCCAUCAUCCAGACACCCAGAGUUGCUCUAUCCCAGAUCUCUUCUCUCUUUCCUUUGCCAUUCUCGGCGCUUGGUUCCUACCCUACAAGAGAUUAAUGGAGUUCCAGUCACCUUACCUGCAUCCCGUCCAGCAGAAAGGCAGAGGGAAGGAAGGAAGGGAGGAAGGAAGGAAGCCCUUUUUCCUUUACCUUAAGGGCUUUGACUGAAAACCUGCUUCAUUUGUUGAACUUAAUCCGAAGGCCACAAGGAAACUGAAGCAUGUGCUGGCUAUCCUAGGUGGCCAGGCACCCAGAUGAAAGCCAGAUGUUCUAUUACUGCACAGAGAGAAGACAGAUGAGCAGCAUACGCUGACAAUGUCAACUUCAAAAUCAGCUCAUCUACCCCAUCCCUGAUGAGGCCACCAGAUCUAGAGAAAUCCACACACAGCUGGGAUCACACAGCAAGCCUGUGAUUGCCGAUUUAGCUUUAGUUCCUCUUGUUUCUCAGCUUUGGUAGAACGGCUUGAUUUCAAAGGGAGGGAGCUCGAGGAGCACUUAGCUCAGAGCUACAGGACAGGGGCAGAAUGGUGAUCGAGUUUGCGUGUUCAGAUCUGCCUGGCCCUGAGUCACGGUAGGUGAGGAACUACUCAAGAUCUCCGCGCUGGGUCUGUGGGUGUGCCUCUCGUGCCAUGUCCCUGUCCCCCGGCUGUGUGGGUGACUCCAUGUCUCUUGUUCAUGCUUAUGGUGGAGAUGCACUUCUGACUUGGCACUUACA